GAGUGAUUUGUCUGGUUAAUUCCGAUAACGAACGAGACUCAAAUAUAUUAAAUAGAUGCUUUCAGGAUUAUGAUGUUGAANCUUAUUAUAGCCUUCUUUCAUGCGUAUUCUAUAUGUUUACAAAUGUUUGAAUGUGUUUAUAUAAGUGGAGUUGUACCUGUUGGUUUGUCCCAUUAUAAGGACACUAGCUUUUAAAUGGACAAAUU
rnacentral:rRNA from 1 species